AAGAGCUGGAUGAGGGGAAACUCUCAUGUCCGGCUCAGAGGGCAGGGUAUCUCGAUUCUAC
rnacentral:ncRNA from 1 species